UACGGGGGGGGGCAAGCGUUGUUCGGAAUUACUGGGCGUAAAGGGCUCGUAGGCGGCCAACUAAGUCGGACGUGAAAAUCCCUCGGCUUAACCGGGGAACUGCGUCCGAUACUGGAUGGCUUGAGUUUGGGAGAGGGAUGCGGAAUUCCAGGUGUAGCGGUGAAAUGCGUAGAUAUCUGGAGGAACACCGGUGGCGAAGGCGGCAUCCUGGACCAACACUGACGCUGAUGAGCGAAAGCCAGGGGAGCAAACGGG
rnacentral:rRNA from 1 species